AAUUGAUUCUGUUUGGGACAAACUGUUCUGCUGCUGAUGAAAAUAGUUGCAUUUCAAGUAGAUGAUUUUGAAAAUGGACUGGGAACAACCAAAAAAUUUUCCAUAAACAAUGUACUGAACAGGAACAGAGUGACUGAAUUUUGAACACUGCAGCCCAGCUCUUAAGACACACAAGCUGGCAAGUUUGAAAUCACAUAUAUGAAGAUUCUCCUUUAAUAAGAAAACAGAACACAAGACUCUAUCUAAGCAGAAAACAUGUUUUCCUGUAAUACAAAGCAAGCUGAAGAGAUUGUGUCUGGCAAACAGAAAACGAAAGGAAGGAUGUCAAAGUGAACUUAUUAUCAGCCACUGAUGUUUAAGUAAAAGAACUACAUGGAUCCUGAGUGCACAUCCUUACUUCUCGUAUCUCAUCCUUACGCCUCUUAUCGCAAUAGUAAAAUAGUUGCAAAUAUAGUAUUAAAAAAAGCAUGUCUGUGCUGUAACUGUUGAAACUCUUCCAAAUAAACCUUCUGUCCCAAAUUUUGCAAAAACAAUACUAAGAUUCGGUGUCACAGUGUUCUAAGAGACAGAUUUACUAAAAUAAUAAUGAGAAUUAUUACAUGGAAAGCAGUCCAGUGCCAUGUUGAAGUAUUAACUGCUUGCUGCUCAUUGUGUAUCUUUUUAACAAUAAUUCUGAGUAAUUGCUUUAGGUAAAUAAUUAAACCAAUUCACAUGAAAUUUCAUUUAUAGAUAUUAUAUUAUCUACCACACACUUGAAUAAAUUGAAACUAUGCUUCUAUAAACAGUGUGUAUGGACUUUAUUCCACAUCAGUGUCACUUAGUGCAGCCCCGUCCCUCACAGAUGCUUGAAGGUGGGAACAGUCUCCACGUGCACACGGAUAACCUGUUAAUAUUCACUGCAUCAGUGGCCUCAAAGAGAUGAGAACUGCAUUUGUCUGUGAAAGCCAAGGGGCCUUCUGAAAGUUCGGCGAUACUAAGCAAUACAUUCCUCAUGCAAAUAUGUAUAUUAUGAAGAAUGUUCUUUAAGAUGAGUCUUAAUGGAGAAUAAACAUUUUCUACUUGGCUGCUUGACCAUCUGACUGCGCUUUUACAAGUCCAUCCCAUAAUAAACAGGCAGGAAUACAUGCACAUACUUGCAUUCUGAGAAGCUCUAAUACCUCUGUGGUUUUAUUCCAGUGGGUUUUGAA